UCGGAUAUGGUGUAACGGCUAAGAUUGCUGCCUCAUUGAAGAUUUGCAUGGAUGAAAAUACUACGCGGCAGCUCGGGAUUCGAUUUCCCGUAUCCGAA